AACGAACGCUGGCGGUAUGCCUAACACAUGCAAGUCGAACGAGACCUUCGGGUCUAGUGGCGCACGGGUGCGUAACGCGUGGGAAUCUGCCCUUGGGUUCGGAAUAACUCGCCGAAAGGCGUGCUAAUACCGGAUGAUGACGUAAGUCCAAAGAUUUAUCGCCCAAGGAUGAGCCCGCGUUGGAUUAGCUAGUUGGUGAGGUAAAGGCUCACCAAGGCGACGAUCCAUAGCUGGUCUGAGAGGAUGAUCAGCCACACUGGGACUGAGACACGGCCCAGACUCCUACGGGAGGCAGCAGUGGGGAAUAUUGGACAAUGGGCGAAAGCCUGAUCCAGCAAUGCCGCGUGAGUGAUGAAGGCCUUAGGGUUGUAAAGCUCUUUUACCCGGGAUGAUAAUGACAGUACCGGGAGAAUAAGCUCCGGCUAACUCCGUG
rnacentral:rRNA from 1 species